GAUGAACGCUGGCGGCGUGCUUAACACAUGCAAGUCGAGCGAGAGAGUUCUUCGGAACAAUCUAGCGGCGGACGGGUGAGUAACACGUGGGCAACCUGCCUCAUAGAGGGGAAUAGCCUCCCGAAAGGGAGAUUAAUACCGCAUAACAUUAUUAAGUGGCAUCACUUGAUAAUCAAAGGAGCAAUCCGCUAUGAGAUGGGCCCGCGGCGCAUUAGCUAGUUGGUGAGGUAACGGCUCACAAAGGCGACGAUGCGUAGCCGACCUGAGAGGGUGAUCGGCCACAUUGGGACUGAGACACGGCCCAGACUCCUACGGGAGGCAGCAGUGGGGAAUAUUGCACAAUGGGGGAAACCCUGAUGCAGCAACGCCGCGUGAGUGAUGACGGCCUUCGGGUUGUAAAGCUCUGUCUUUGGGGACGAUAAUGACGGUACCCAAGGAGGAAGUCACGGCUAACUACGUGCCAGCAGCCGCAGUAAAAC
rnacentral:rRNA from 1 species